CGCUGAGUUUGAUCCUGGCUCAGGAUUAACGCUAGCGGCAGGCUUAACACAUGCAAGUACGAGGGGUAUAGUUCUUCGGAACUAGAGACCGGCGCACGGGUGCGUAACGCGUAUGCAAUCUACCUUUUACAGAGGGAUAGCCCAGAGAAAUUUGGAUUAAUACCUCAUAGUAUGUGAGAAUCGCAUGGUUUUUCACAUUAAAGUUCCAACGGUAAAAGAUGAGCAUGCGUCCCAUUAGCUAGAUGGUAAGUAACGGCUUACCAUGGCGACGAUGGGUAGGGGUCCUGAGA
rnacentral:rRNA from 1 species